AUUAAAAUAUAUGAAAAGGCAUAAAAAUAUCAAAAAAGAUAUAUUCAUUUGUUAUUAGAGGGAACAUUUUUUUCGUCAGCCGCUUAAAUUCUGAUUCUGCUCUAUUGGAUAUUUCUAUAAAUACAAUAAAUAAUUUAAUGCAGUUAUAUUCAAUAUUUCCUUAAACUCUGUCGUCCACUUAUAUAACUGUUUUGUUGUUGUGGCCGCAUUAAAAUCGCCUAGUGGCCGCAUUUGAGAACUGCUCACCUAAAUUUCCUAGAAAAAUAUGCUUAAAUAAUUAACACGGUAGUAUUUUUGGAUGCAAUUUAAAGUUAUAAUGAAAUCCUGCCUUUAACAACAACCAAUAUUGUCGGCCAGAUUGCGCGGUGAAGCGUGCUAUAUUUUAUCUCUGGAGAAUUUAGGUUCAAUUCUCCGGUUCAUCUCCAGUUUCCUCAGAAAGGAUCCUAUCCUGCUUAAUUGAAACCCAUUCUCCAUCUGCCAGUUGAUACUACCAAUGGUAUGGCAGCCUCUGAUGGACACUAUAAUAUCUCGCUGCUGGUGGCCGCAUGGUAACACAAUGGCAUGCCUUGCAGAAGAACUCGUAUUCGCGUCCCGGGUCCGGCAUCUCCUGAAAAGUUUUUUCAGAGUUUUGAGUCCAGCCCGACGAUUCCCGUCCUUCACCAUCCGAUCUCUCUCCACGGAUGUGAUGCAGCCCGAGGUUGGAACUGGCCCCGCCUCUUAAUAAUCUCACUGAUUGGAAACGGGCAUAAAACAGCAAAAAAAAAAAAUUCUG
rnacentral:lncRNA from 1 species